AGGGAAAAGCUCAAAUUUGUAAUCUGGCGGUCUCUGGCCGUCCGAGUUGUAAUUUGGAGAGGCGUCUUCCGCGUCGGACCACGUACAAGUCCCCUGGAACGGGGCGUCGUAGAGGGUGAGAAUCCCGUGCACGACGUGGACUACCGAGGCUAUGUGAUGCGCCCUCGAA
rnacentral:rRNA from 1 species